AACGAACGCUGGCGGCAGGCUUAACACAUGCAAGUCGAACGCCCUCUUCGGAGGGAGUGGCAGACGGGUGAGUAACACGUGGGAAUCUACCUAUCGGUAAGGAACAACACAUAGAAAUGUGUGCUAAUACCUUAUACGUCCUCAGGGAGAAAGAUUUAUCGCCGAUAGAUGAGCCCGCGCUUGAUUAGCUAGUUGGUGAGGUAAUGGCUCACCAAGGCGACGAUCAAUAGCUGGUCUGAGAGGAUGAUCAGCCACACUGGGACUGAGACACGGCCCAGACUCCUACGGGAGGCAGCAGUGGGGAAUAUUGGACAAUGGGCGCAAGCCUGAUCCAGCCAUGCCGCGUGAGUGAUGAAGGCCCUAGGGUUGUAAAGCUCUUUCAACGGUGAAGAUAAUGACGGUAACCGUAGAAGAAGCCCCGGCUAACUUCGUGCCAGCCGCCGCGGUAACAC
rnacentral:rRNA from 1 species